rnacentral:lncRNA from 1 species
UGGAUUUUAAGAAAAAGUAUACUGUUCAGAUUAUUUUAAGCAGAUUUUGCAAUAAAAUAAAACUAAAAAAAUGCUUUCGGUUUCUUAUGGUUUCCUGUCAGGUUUAAAAAAAACUUUAAUAUAACAUUGAAAAUAGAUUUUAAAUAUUAACAUGAAGCAAGUAACACUAGUAAUGGUGUUUAUUUAUGCCUUUUGAAUUAUAUUGUGCAAAAUAAAGAAAAUAAAGAUUGGUUUCCUGUUUGGUUUCAUGUCACGUAAACGGUGAAUCAAAAUGUAUUAAUUUUUUCUCGAAAAAACUCAAUUGUUCCAAUCAUACUAUUCUAACACCAACACAACCCACAAAAUAAAAGUUAAAAUUUUAGAACUUAUAAAAAAGGAUACAAAAAGAAACCAAAGGCCGAAUACCAAAUUAUGGUCCAUAUAUACA